AGUUGUUUGAGAAAAAGAAUACUAUGACUGAAAAAACUGUUUUGUUUAGGGCUUUUUUUUCUCUACUCAGUCAGAUAUUAUCCAGAUCUAGCUGAGCUAUCCAAAGUAUUUAAUUGCCAGAUUUUUUUUCUGAGAACAAAGAAAAAGACCAUGUGCUAAAAUAACUGCACGUAUAAACUUAGUCAGCUGGGUUCACACUGCUGCUGCCAGAGUGAUAGCUGUUGCUUCAAUGAGAACAUCUGAGACUGCCAGAAGGGGCAAGAGGGAAGAUUGGGGCAAGAGUCCAGCCCCACAAAGAUCUGCUGCUACCACUGUGGGGCUUCCAGAAAAGUAUCUCAGCUGAUAUUUGGCUGAACCAGGGAUAAAAACUCUCCUUUGAAACUUGUAAAACACUCCCGAUUUUGUCAUAGAGUCAACAUGAGCAAGAAUACCUGUAAUCUAUGUGGGAAGAGCAGAAGUGUUUCAGAAGAAACUCUGCAACACAACACUAAGGACGAGGAUUUUUCCCAAGGAAUGGAGCCCUAUCUUGUGCAGAGAUUAUUGUCCUGUAACAUCCAGCUUCCCUCCCUAGCUUUCAGGCAGUUAGAACAGGCAUACUGGGAUAAAAAGAGUGAUACUGAGACUAUCCCAAGACCCAUGACUCUUCCACUGAGGAUACCUCCUCUGAUUGCUGUUACAGCUGCUGAGUCCAGCAGGUAAGAUACAGCAACUUGUUCUUGAUUCAACAUUUCGGCUGGCAGGUGCAGGACAUCAGAUGUUGCUUCUAGGACAGAAGCAUAUUCCUUUUCUAAAUCCCCUAAAUG